rnacentral:rRNA from 1 species
AUUGAACGCUGGCGGCAGGCCUAACACAUGCAGGUCGAGCGGAUGACGGGAGCUUGCUCCUUGAUUCAGCGGCGGACGGGUGAGUAAUGCCUAGGAAUCUGCCUGGUAGUGGGGGACAACGUUUCGAAAGGAACGCUAAUACCGCAUACGUCCUACGGGAGAAAGCAGGGGACCUUCGGGCCUUGCGCUAUCAGAUGAGCCUAGGUCGGAUUAGCUAGUAGGUGAGGUAAUGGCUCACCUAGGCGACGAUCCGUAACUGGUCUGAGAGGAUGGUCAGUCACACUGGAACUGAGACACGGUCCAGACUCCUACGGGAGGCAGCAGUGGGGAAUAUUGGACAAUGGGCGAAAGCCUGAUCCAGCCAUGCCGCGUGUGUGAAGAAGGUCUUCGGAUUGUAAAGCACUUUAAGUUGGGAGGAAGGGCAGUAAGCUAAUACCUUGCUGUUUUGACGUUACCGACAGAAUAAGCACCGGCUAACUCUGUGCCAGCCGCCGCGGUAAGAC